rnacentral:lncRNA from 1 species
UCUGUCAAGUGGCUAACAAAAGGCCUCCAAGAGGUCCCAGCUUUAAUGUAGAGGAGGAUAAACUUCUUAUAAGUGCUUGGUUGAAUACUGGUAUGGAUUCAAUACAAGGCAAUGAUCAAAAGCUGCAGACUUUUUGGGGGAAAAUUACAGAGUACUAUCAUCAGUAUAAGUCCUUUGACAGUGAUCGUUCACAAUCGAUGCUGACACAACGGUGGGGAAAAAUACAAAAGAUGGUGAACAAAUUUUCAGGAUGUUUUGCAGCUAUAAAUGAAAGGCAUGAAAGUGGGAAGACUGAACAAGACAAGAUUGCAGAUGCAAAGAAGAUGUUUGAAGCACAAGAAAAGCUUUGGUUCAAUCUUGAUCAUGCUUGGAUUUUGUUGAGGCACCAACCAAAGUGGAUACAAUUAAUGCAAGAGCUGGACAGCAAGAAAAGUAAGCAAAGAUCUAAGUCUUGUAUAACUAAUAUCUCAUCAUCUUCAACUACAGGCCAUCUCAUAGAUAUUGAAGA